GACGAACGCUGGCGGCGUGCUUAACACAUGCAAGUCGAACGGAAAGGCCCUGCUUUUGUGGGGUGCUCGAGUGGCGAACGGGUGAGUAACACGUGAGUAACCUGCCCUUGACUUUGGGAUAACUUCAGGAAACUGGGGCUAAUACCGGAUAGGAGCUCCUGCUGCAUGGUGGUGGUUGGAAAGUUUCGGCGGUUGGGGAUGGACUCGCGGCUUAUCAGCUUGUUGGUGGGGUAGUGGCUUACCAAGGCUGUGACGGGUAGCCGGCCUGAGAGGGUGACCGGCCACAUUGGGACUGAGAUACGGCCCAGACUCCUACGGGAGGCAGCAGUGGGGAAUAUUGCACAAUGGGCGGAAGCCUGAUGCAGCAACGCCGCGUGCGGGAUGACGGCCUUCGGGUUGUAAACCGCUUUCGCCUGUGACGAAGCGUGAGUGACGGUAAUGGGUAAAGAAGCACCGGCUAACUACGUG
rnacentral:rRNA from 1 species